rnacentral:rRNA from 1 species
AUGGCUGCCCCGGCGAAGGCGUCGUGGCUGGUGGCCAUGAGCGUGGGCGCUGUGGAGGCCCUCAAGGACCAGGCGGGGCUUUGCCGCUGGAACUAUGCGCUCAGCUCCAUCCACCGGGCAGCCAAGGCCAGGGCCAACGUCCGCGGCGGCGUCUCGCAGGGCCCCAAGCAGCUUGCGGCCUCUGCUGCGGCGGUGGCCGAGAGGCGACGGGCAGAGAAGGCCGAGGAGGGGCUGAGGACCAUGAUGUACCUCAGCUGUUGGGGCCCAAAUUAG